CGGGAAACCCCCUCCAAGACCAGGCUUCUCACCCAUCAAGUGGGAUAAGGCCCCCCGCAGACCACGGGAUCGAUAGACCAGACCUACACACCCAGCAAUGGGCACAGGGAACUGGCACUAACCGGCCGAAAACUUACAACAC
rnacentral:rRNA from 1 species